rnacentral:rRNA from 1 species
GUCCACGCCGUAACGGUGGGUGCUAGGUGUAGGUCGUAUUCCACGCGAUCUGUGCCGCAGCUAACGCAUUAAGCACCCCGCCUGGGGAGUACGGCCGCAAGGCUAAACUCAAAGGAAUUGACGGGGCCCGCACAAGCAGCGGAGCAUGUGGCUUAAUUCGACGCAACGCGAAGAACCUUACCAAGGCUUGACAUGCAGGGAAAUCUCCUAGAGAUAGGAGGUCCGCAAGGGUCCUGCACAGGUGGUGCAUGGUUGUCGU